UAAGACAAUGGUGAGAUUUGAC
rnacentral:siRNA from 1 species